rnacentral:rRNA from 1 species
GGUAAAAAAGCUCGUAGUUGGAUUUCUGUUGAGGGCGACCGGUCCAUACCAUGUAUGCGCAUCCGGUUCGGCCUCGGCAUCCUCUCGGAAGCCGUUUCUGCGCUUGAUUGCGUGGAGCGGGGUUCGGGACUUUUACUUUGAGGAAAUUAGAGUGUUCACGGCAGGCUAUCGCCAGAAUACAUUAGCAUGGAAUAAUAUUAUAGGACCUCGGUUCUAUUUUGUUGGUUCCUAGAAACGAGGUAAUGAUUAAUAGGGACAAUUGGGGGCAUUCGUAUCAACACGUCAGAGGUGGAAUUCUUGGAUUGUGUUGCGACGAACUACUGCGAAAGCAUUUGCCAAGGAUGUUUUCAUUGAUCAAGAACGAAAGUAAGGGGAUCGAAGACGAUUAGAUACCGUCGUAGUCUUUACCACAAACUAUGCCAACUAGAGAUGGGACAUCGUUCAUUUACGACUUGUUCCGCACCUUAUGAGAUAUCAAAGUUUUUGGGUUCCGGGGGGAGUAUGGUCGCAAGGCUGGAACUUAAAGGAAUUGACGGAAGGGCACCACCAGGAGUGGAGCCUGCGGCUUAAUUUGACUCAACACGGGGAAACUCACCAGGUCCAGACAUAAUAAGGAUUGACAGAUUGAUAGCUCUUUCUUGAUUUUAUGGGUGGUGGUGCAUGGCCGUUCUUAGUUCGUGGAGUGAUUUGUCUGCUUAAUUGCGUUAACGAA